GUGGCGAUGGGAGAGACGGCUGAGCUGUGACGAAAAACCGCUGGCCGCUACUGC
rnacentral:snoRNA from 1 species